GACGAACGCUGGCGGCGUGCUUAACACAUGCAAGUCGAACGGUGAAGCGCUUUCCUUUUUGGCUGGUGUGGAUGAGUGGCGAACGGGUGAGUAACACGUGAGUAACCUGCCUCCUUCUUCUGGAUAACCGCAUGAAAGUGUGGCUAAUACGGGAUAUUCUGCGCCUGCUGCAUGGUGGGUGUGGGAAAGAUUGUGCCUUUGGGUGUUUUCGGUGGGGGAUGGGCUCGCGGCCUAUCAGCUUGUUGGUGGGGUGAUGGCCUACCAAGGCGGUGACGGGUAGCCGGCCUGAGAGGGUGGACGGUCACACUGGGACUGAGACACGGCCCAGACUCCUACGGGAGGCAGCAGUGGGGAAUAUUGCACAAUGGGCGCAAGCCUGAUGCAGCGACGCCGCGUGAGGGAUGGAGGCCUUCGGGUUGUGAACCUCUUUCGCCAGUGAAGCAGGCCUGCUCCGUGUGGGUGGGUUGACGGUAGCUGGAUAAGAAGCGCCGGCUAACUACGUG
rnacentral:rRNA from 1 species